UGGCGGCGUGCCUAACACAUGCAAGUCGAACGGGGUUAAGUGAUAUUUCGGAUGGAACUUAACUAGUGGCGGACGGGUGAGUAACGCGUGGAUAACCUGCCUCACACAGGGGGAUAGCAGCUGGAAACGGCUGGUAAUACCGCAUAAGACCACGGUGCCGCAUGGCACAGAGGUAAAAGAUUUAUCGGUGUGAGAUGGAUCCGCGUCUGAUUAGCCAGUUGGCGGGGUAACGGCCCACCAAAGCGACGAUCAGUAGCCGGCCUGAGAGGGUGAACGGCCACAUUGGGACUGAGACACGGCCCAAACUCCUACGGGAGGCAGCAGUGGGGAAUAUUGCACAAUGGGCGCAAGCCUGAUGCAGCAAACCGCCGCGUGAGUGAAGAAGUAUUUCGGUAUGUAAAGCUCUAUCGGCAGGGAAGAAAGGCCCAUUAAGGGAGAUGACGGUACCUGACUAAGAAGCCCCGGCUAACUACGUGCCAGCCGCGGC
rnacentral:rRNA from 1 species